GUUGCGGUGGCAGAGCCCGGUAACUGCAGAAGACCUAAGCCUUUCUCACAGAGGUUCAAAUCCUCUCCCCAACU
rnacentral:tRNA from 1 species